ACGUUAGCGGCGGACGGGUGAGUAACACGUGGGUAACCUACCUAUAAGACUGGGAUAACUUCGGGAAACCGGAGCUAAUACCGGAUAAUAUUUCGAACCGCAUGGUUCGAUAGUGAAAGAUGGUUUUGCUAUCACUUAUAGAUGGACCCGCGUCGUAUUAGCUAGUUGGUAAGGUAACGGCUUACCAAGGCACGAUACGUAGCCGACCUGAGAGGGUGAUCGGCCACACUGGAACUGAGACACGGUCCAGACUCCUACGGGAGGCAGCAGGC
rnacentral:rRNA from 1 species